CCGGGCGGCAGCUACACAUGCAGUCGAGCGAGAACUUCGGUUCUAGCGGCGGACGGGUUAGUAACGCGUGGGAACGUGCCCUUCACUACGGAAUAGUCCCGGGAAACUGGGUUUAAUACCGUAUACGCCCUUCGGGGGAAAGAAUUUCGGUGAAGGAUCGGCCCGCGUUAGAUUAGAUAGUUGGUGGGGUAACGGCCUACCAAGUCUACGAUCUAUAGCUGGUUUUAGAGGAUGAUCAGCAACACUGGGACUGAGACACGGCCCAGACUCCUACGGGAGGCAGCAGUGGGGAAUCUUAGACAAUGGGCGCAAGCCUGAUCUAGCCAUGCCGCGUGAGUGAUGAAGGCCUUAGGGUCGUAAAGCUCUUUCGCCAGGGAUGAUAAUGACAGUACCUGGUAAAGAAACCCCGGCUAACUCCGUGCCAGCAGCCGCGGUAAUACGGAGGGGGUUAGCGUUGUUCGGAAUUACUGGGCGUAAAGCGCGCGUAGGCGGAUUGGAAAGUUGGGGGUGAAAUCCCAGGGCUCAACCCUGGAACUGCCUCCAAAACUAUCAGUCUAGAGUUCGAGAGAGGUGAGUGGAACUCCGAGUGUAGAGGUGAAAUUCGUAGAUAUUCGGAAGAACACCAGUGGCGAAGGCGGCUCACUGGCUCGAUACUGACGCUGAGGUGCGAAAGUGUGGGGAGCAAACAGGAUUAGAUACCCUGGUAGUCC
rnacentral:rRNA from 1 species